UACGGGGGGAGCAAGCGUUGUUCGGAUUCAUUGGGCGUAAAGGGUGCGUAGGCGGCGCGGUAAGUCGGGUGUGAAAUCUUGGAGCUUAACUCCGAAACUGCAUUCGAUACUGCCGUGCUUGAGGACUGGAGAGGAGACUGGAAUUUACGGUGUAGCGGUGAAAUGCGUAGAUAUCGUAAGGAAGACCAGUGGCGAAGGCGGGUCUCUGGACAGUUCCUGACGCUGAGGCGCGAAAGCCAGGGGAGCGAACGGG
rnacentral:rRNA from 1 species